rnacentral:rRNA from 1 species
GAUGAACGCUGGCGGCGUGCCUAAUACAUGCAAGUCGAGCGAAUGGAUUAAGAGCUUGCUCUUAUGAAGUUAGCGGCGGACGGGUGAGUAACACGUGGGUGACCUGCUCAUAAGACUGGGAUAACUCCGGGAAACCGGGGCGAAUACCGGAUAACAUUUUGAACCGCAUGGUUCGAAAUUGAAAGGCGGCGUCGGCUGUCACUUAUGGAUGGACCCGCGUCGCAUUAGCUAGUUGGUGAGAUAACGGCUCACCAAGGCAACGAUGCGUAGCCGACCUGAGAGGGUGAUCGGCCACACUGGGACUGAGACACGGCCCAGACUCCUACGGGAGGCAGCAGUAGGGAAUCUUCCGCAAUGGACGAAAGUCUGACGGAGCAAUGCCGCGUGAGUGAUGAAGGCUUUCGGGUCGUAAAACUCUGUUGUUAGGGAAGAACAAGUGCUAGUUGAAUAAGCUGGCACCUUGACGGUACCUAACCAGAAAGCCACGGCUAACUACGUGCCAGCCGCCGCCGUAA